UCUUAUUGACAUUCUAUCUAUAAAUACAGCAGACCAAACCGCCUUCCUCUCCCCUGUUAUCCCUUUUUUUUGGUUUCUAAAGCACAAACAAAACCUACCCAUUAGCAAUCAUGGCUCUUUCCCUCUCCUCCAAAACCUACCUUACCACAACUACUCCCUGGAGAUCGCUGUCUCGACUCCUGGCUUUUCGCGCUCAAUCUAAUACCCCAAACCACCUCGCCGACAUAUCCGAGGAAUCUUCCACCACCGACCCUUUGCUGCGCAAGCUGGAGGACGCCAUCCAUCGGAUCAUCGUCAGGCGGGCAGCACCCGAUUGGCUUCCUUUUCUACCAGGAUCUUCAUACUGGGUCCCCCCACCUAGAUCUACUGGCGGAUCCCUUGGGAUUGCUCAGUUGGUUGAGAAAUUGGCUAAUCCCUUGACCGAUGAGCAAUCUCUUUCUACCACCACCGUCAGAGGUUGGCCUUCCUCUGAUUUCUUUUUUCAAGAUGCAUCUCCUCGUACGAUUGAGGUGAAGAUGACUUCCAAUAAAUUUGAAGACGCAAAGCCAACCUCGAAUAAAUCGGAGGUAGAGGCCAUUUCAAACAUAGAGAAGGUGGAGGCACCUUCGAAUUAUGUAUCCCCAUCUGAAGAAGAGGAAGGAUGAAUUUUACCCAUAAAUAAACUGGCAUCUGGUAUUCCCAUACGUUAGACUAGAGACAAGAUAUUGGGAGUUCGCCUGUGAUACCAGGAGUCAAAAGUAAAAUAUGAGAAAAAGCUAAGUGACAGGCUCAUCCAGUCUUUGUAAAUUUUAUGUAGAAGCAAGACUCAGAAUGUAGUGGAAAAAAAGGUGUAUGACAAUGUGCAACAGAUGCAAUUUCAUGAGGUAGCAAUAGUUUAGCAAAAAGACGAACCUACCCUGGAAAAUGUACUGGACACUGAUUUGUGUUGAAGCUUUCAAUCGCUUUGUACUUGUAUUUAUUUAUAUCCCCUGCAGCCCGCUGGAUAUUUCCCUUCUGAUUUUAGUUCAGAUGUCUAGCUUUUGUACCUGUACAUAUGCUUGUGGAAUAAUUGCACUAGUGAUUCUCUGCU